GUUUGUGGGUUCGAUUCCCACGGGGGGCCAUGUAUGAAAUGUAUGCAUUCACUACUGUAAGUCGCUCUGGAUAAGAGCGUCUGCUAAAUGACUAAAAUGUAAAUGUAAUGUAAAUGGUUUGGCCGGGGUAGGCCGUCAUUGUAAAUAAGAAUUUGUUCUUAACUGACUUGCCUAGUUAAAUAAAUAAAAUAAAACAAUUCUUACACCUAAAUUCAGCUUGCCAAAGCCACAAUGUAAAGUUUUUCCCAAUAAACCUGGCACUGUCAGAAAGAGUGUAAUGAUGAAUCCUGUCUAUCGCUGUUUGUAGGAGUUUGUCAAAUGGUAGUGCUCACUGUUCAUCCGUUUCGUUGCCGUGCUGGUGGAUCCUGACCCUAUUAUCGCUAGAACCCAGUGAGGUUCUCGCAGCACUUCAUCGAGUGCAUCUUCCACUUCAACUCCUAUGAGAAACACAAGACCUACAACUAAUUCCCUCAAAAGGCCAGGAGCCCAGAACAAAGAGAGGAGGGUAAGGAUCUAUAAGUUCCAGCUGCAGCACUUCAGACACCUAGUGCUUUAACAUCACCAUCAAGAUCACCUAGAACAUCCUAGGAAAUGUCAGUUAGUUGCAACAUCUGAGUUCAAAUGUAUGCUUUGUGGAUGGGGAGCUGCCCCUGGAAUGUGAUGGGGCGGCGGUGCUAGCUGAGACCUUUUGGGAUCCUCAGCCUCAAGGAGAUCAAGCCGUCAGCGCUGAGUGGGGCGGCAGGGGCUGGUGGCAAACGAGUAGAUUGCCAUGACCAAGGUGGACCAGAAGAAGGUGGUUUCAUAGGUACGUUAAACUUUGAAUAUU
rnacentral:lncRNA from 8 species